rnacentral:rRNA from 1 species
GAUGAACGCUGGCGGCGUGCCUAAUACAUGCAAGUCGAGCGAACAGAUAAGGAGCUUGCUCCUUUGACGUUAGCGGCGGACGGGUGAGUAACACGUGGGUAACCUACCUAUAAGACUGGGAUAACUUCGGGAAACCGGAGCUAAUACCGGAUAACAUUUGGAACCGCAUGGUUCUAACGUGAAAGAUGGUUUUGCUAUCACUUAUAGAUGGACCCGCGCCGUAUUAGCUAGUUGGUAAGGUAACGGCUUACCAAGGCAACGAUACGUAGCCGACCUGAGAGGGUGAUCGGCCACACUGGAACUGAGACACGGUCCAGACUCCUACGGGAGGCAGAAGUAGGGAAUCUUCCGCAAUGGGCGAAAGCCUGACGGAGCAACGCCGCGUGAGUGAUGAAGGGUUUCGGCUCGUAAAACUCUGUUAUUAGGGAAGAACAAAUGUGUAAGUAACUGUGCACAUCUGACGGUACCUAAUCAGAAAGCCACGGCUAACUACGUGCCAGCAGCCGCGGUAA